CGCAGGUGAUGUCCAUGUUCACAAUGGUCUUCAGAUGCCCAAGUAGGGCACUGCUGAGAAAAAAAAAAAGAAUCUCAGUUUACCAACAUGGGGUCAUGUAUAAAA
ensembl:snoRNA